GUCCCAAAUUUCGGGGGGUCCCCAGUUUUGGGGGUCCCAAAUUUUGGGGGUCCCCAAUUUCGGGGGUCCCCAAAGUGGAGGAAGUCCCCAAUUUUGGGGGUCCCAAAUUUUGGAGGAGGUCCCAAAUUAUAGGGUUCCCCAAUUUCGGGGGUCCCCAAUUUUAGGGUCCCCAAUUUUGGGGGGUCCCAAAUUUUGGAGGAGGUCCCAAAUUUUAGGGUUCCCCAAUUUUAGGGUCCCCAAUUUCGGGGGGUCCCCGUGUACGUGCGUGGGGGGGGGGGUCCCCAAAAUCCCUUUGGGGGGGGUCCCCAAAAUUUUGGGGGGCGGGGGGGGGGUGGACCCAGCGCUGCUUCACUGCCAGGGAUGGGGGAGGGGCUCCCCCCCCCCCCCCCCUUUUUUCCGUCCUCUUCCUCUCGAUUAAUUAAUUUUUAACGCUCUUCCUUCCUAAUUGAGGAUUUUAAUUAAGGAUUUUAAUUAAGGGGUUUAAUUAAUUGGUUUGUAACUCGUUCUCCUCCCCCCCUCCCCCUCCCCCGGGUUUCUUUUUAAGGUUUUUAAUUUAUUAUUAUUAUUGUUAUAAUUAUUAUAAUUAUUAUUGUUGUUCUUAUUAUUAAAAAACGGGGGAGGGGAAAUAAAAAUAUAAAAAUGUAUAAAAUUAAAAUAAAAAUCCGAAUUAAAGGGACGACCCCUCCCCCCCCUUUUCCCUCCCCCUCCCCCCCCCUCCCGAUUCUCGGGAUUUUCCCGGGAAUUUCCCCCUCCCCCAUCCCGGGGGUCGGAGGUUUUUGGGGUCUCUGGAUUAUUAAUUAUUAUUAUUAAUUAUUAUUUUUGGGGGGGGGGGGUCGCGGCCGAACCGCCCCUCCCCCCCCCCCGUGUGAAUAAAGGUCCGUCCGGAAAA